CCAUCCUCCAAGGCUAAAUACUCCUGACUGACCGAUAGUGAACCAGUACCGUGAGGGAAAGGCGAAAAGAACCCCGGCGAGGGGAGUGAAAAAGAACCUGAAACCGUGUACGUACAAGCAGUGGGAGCCUCUUAAUGGGGUGACUGCGUACCUUUUGUAUAAUGGGUCAGCGACUUAUAUUCUGUAGCAAGGUUAACCGAAUAGGGGAGCCGAAGGGAAACCGAGUCUUAACUGGGCGUUAAGUUGCAGGGUAUAGACCCGAAACCCGGUGAUCUAGCCAUGGGCAGGUUGAAGGUUGGGUAACACUAACUGGAGGACCGAACCGACUAAUGUUGAAAAAUUAGCGGAUGACUUGUGGCUGGGGGUGAAAGGCCAAUCAAACCGGGAGAUAGCUGGUUCUCCCCGAAAGCUAUUUAGGUAGCGCCUCGUGAAUUCAUCUCCGGGGGUAGAGCACUGUUUCGGCAAGGGGGUCAUCCCGACUUACCAACCCGAUGCAAACUGCGAAUACCGGAGAAUGUUAUCACGGGAGACACACGGCGGGUGCUAACGUCCGUCGUGAAGAGGGAAACAACCCAGACCGCCAGCUAAGGUCCCAAAGUCAUGGUUAAGUGGGAAACGAUGUGGGAAGGCCCAGACAGCCAGGAUGUUGGCUUAGAAGCAGCCAUCAUUUAAAGAAAGCGUAAUAGCUCACUGGUCGAGUCGGCCUGCGCGGAAGAUGUAACGGGGCUAAACCAUGCACCGAAGCUGCGGCAGCGACACUAUGUGUUGUUGGGUAGGGGAGCGUUCUGUAAGCCUGUGAAGGUGGCCUGUGAGGGUUGCUGGAGGUAUCAGAAGUGCGAAUGCUGACAUAAGUAACGAUAAAGCGGGUGAAAAGCCCGCUCGCCGGAAGACCAAGGGUUCCUGUCCAACGUUAAUCGGGGCAGGGUGAGUCGACCCCUAAGGCGAGGCCGAAAGGCGUAGUCGAUGGGAAACAGGUUAAUAUUCCUGUACUUGGUGUUACUGCGAAGGGGGGACGGAGAAGGCUAUGUUGGCCGGGCGACGGUUGUCCCGGUUUAAGCGUGUAGGCUGGUUUUCCAGGCAAAUCCGGAAAACCAAGGCUGAGGCGUGAUGA
rnacentral:rRNA from 1 species